rnacentral:lncRNA from 1 species
UUUCAACUUUAGCUUUUGGCUUAUCCUCCUUUACAGUUUCAGUUGGGGGAGAUGGCUUGGAAGCAGCUUUUUCUGAUUUCUUUUCAGCAGAAGCAGCAGGUGCUACACCCUCAGCAGACUUUGAAAUGACAGCAAUCCUGUUACCUGGUUCCACGGUAUCUCCUUCCUUGGCUACAUACUGCCAGGAAUUAAUAACACUAAAGUUCAGGAUCCAAUCCACUUCCCUUGUUCCCAGAAAUGAGAAGGUAGAAGUCUAGGAAUGACCAACAAGCUAGACAUGUGCGUGCGUGAGUGCAUGUGAGACCCAAAGAUCCAGAAUUGUUGAUAUAUUACCUCUUGUAGCACACCAUCUUGGGGACUAGUAACAUCAAUUGUUACCUGAUGAAAAUAAACACUGAAGGUAUUAGGGGUAUAAACAAAUAUCACUUCUCAAUAAAGAAAAGGUCAAGAAUGGUACCUUAUCAGUUUCUAUUUGAGCAAUGGGUUCGUCAGCUGCUACUCUAUCACCAGGUUCUGCUCCCAAAAAUUCAGAUACAUCCACAAUAAAGCACUUACAACCAUGAAAAUGAAUAUGUCCAGAGAAUUGAUAGAAAUCACAUCAGUGGAAAACAUACUUUUCAAGAAUGUAGCCAAAGUGCCAUCAGAUAUUGAUUCUCCCAUGAAAGGGACAACAGCAUCAACCAGAUCCCCUUCAUCAUAUGAUGGGGCUUUAGGCUUCUCCACAGUUUCAGCUGGAGAUGGCUCGGAAGCAGCUUUUUCUGAUUUCUUUUCAGCAGGGGCAGCAGGUGCUACACCCUCAGCAGACUUUGAAAUGACAGCAAUCCUGUUACCUGGUUCCACUGUAUCUCCUUCCUUGGCCACAUACUGGCAAGAAUUAUAACACUAAAGUUCAGGAUCCAAUCCACUUCUCUUGUUCCCAGAAAUGGAAAGGUAGGAGUCUAGGAAUGACCAACAAGCUAGACAUGUGCAUGCAUGCAUGUGUGACCCAAAGAUUCAGAUUUGUUGACAUAUUACCUCUUGUAGCACACCAUCUUGGGGACUGCUAACAUCAAUUGUUACCUGAUGAAAAUAAAUGCUGAGGGUAUUAGGAGUAUAACAAAUAU